AACGAACGCUGGCGGCAUGCCUAACACAUGCAAGUCGAACGAGACCUUCGGGUCUAGUGGCGCAAGGGUGCGUAACGCGUGGGAACCUGCCCUUAGGUUCGGAAUAACUCCCCGAAAGGGGUGCUAAUACCGGAAAAUGUCUUCGGACCACAGAUUUAUCGCCUUUGGAUGGGCCCGCGUUGGAUUAGCUAGUUGGUAGGGUAAAAGCCUACCAAGGCGACGAUCCAUAGCUGGUCUGAGAGGAUGAUCAGCCACACUGGGACUGAGACACGGCCCAGACUCCUACGGGAGGCAGCAGUGGGGAAUAUUGGACAAUGGGCGAAAGCCUGAUCCAGCAAUGCCGCGUGAGUGAUGAAGGCCUUAGGGUUGUAAAGCUCUUUUACCCGGGAUGAUAAUGACAGUACCGGGAGAAUAAGCUCCGGCUAACUCCGUG
rnacentral:rRNA from 1 species